AUUGAACGCUGGCGGCAGGCCUAACACAUGCAAGUCGAACGAGUGGCGGACGGGUGAGUAAUGUCUGGGAAACUGCCUGAUGGAGGGGGAUAACUACUGGAAACGGUAGCUAAUACCGCAUACCAUCAGAUGUGCCCAGAUGGGAUUAGCUGGUUGGUGGGGUAAAGGCUCACCAAGGCGACGAUCCCUAGCGGGUCUGAGAGGAUGACCCGCCACACUGGGACUGAGACACGGCCCAGACUCCUACGGGAGGCAGCAGUGGGGAAUUUUGCACAAUGGGCGCAAGCCUGAUCCAGCCAUGCCGCGUGUAUGAAGAAGGCCUUCGGGUUGUAAAGGACUUUCGUCGGGGAGGCGGUACCCGCAGAAGAAGCACCGGCUAACUCCGUGCCAGCAGCCGCGGUAAUUC
rnacentral:rRNA from 1 species